AUGCUUGGGAACAUGCCUUGAGGUGGGGGACAACAGUUGGAAACGACUGCUAAUACCGCAUAAUGUCUACGGACCAAAGGGGGCUUCGGCUCUCGCCUUUAGAUUGGCCCAAGUGGGAUUAGCUAGUUGGUGAGGUAAUGGCUCACCAAGGCAACGAUCCCUAGCUGGUUUGAGAGGAUGAUCAGCCACACUGGAACUGAGACACGGUCCAGACUCCUACGGGAGGCAGCAGUGGGGAAUAUUGCACAAUGGGCGCAAGCCUGAUGCAGCCAUGCCGCGUGUGUGAAGAAGGCCUUCGGGUUGUAAAGCACUUUCAGUCAGGAGGAAAGGUUAGUCGUUAAUACCGGCUAGCUGUGACGUUACUGACAGAAGAAGCACCGGCUAACUCCGUGCCAGCAGCCGCGGUAAUACGGAGGGUGCGAGCGUUAAUCGGAAUUACUGGGCGUAAAGCGUACGCAGGCGGUUUGUUAAGCGAGAUGUGAAAGCCCCGGGCUCAACCUGGGAACUGCAUUUCGAACUGGCAAACUAGAGUGUGAUAGAGGGUGGUAGAAUUUCAGGUGUAGCGGUGAAAUGCGUAGAGAUCUGAAGGAAUACCGAUGGCGAAGGCAGCCACCUGGUCAACACUGACGCUCA
rnacentral:rRNA from 1 species